UUCAGAACGUCACAUUGGCUUCCUGAUUCUGUUGUUCGAUACACAACGUGCGUGAUCGUUGGUAAAUGUGGAUUAAAAGUUGAAACUAAAACUGUUAAAUUAUAUAUAGUGAUCAUCAGAGGACUUGGCUGAAACAACGCGAUUCACAUGGAUUACUUCGGCGAUGUUUUUUAUUGCUGUUGCGAUUAACUUUUUGAAAUGUGAGCAGUUUUUAAGUAUCAAGUGGAUCUGACAUCGAGGGGAAAUAUACGUUUCUUGGAUUUCAUUAAAGUACAUCGGUUUUUGUUUGAAGAUGAAUGAGAGAACAUGAGGCACAGCGGCAUUCAAAUUGACCAUUCAGAGCCGAGAAUAUCUAAUAAGUCGAGGUAGAGAUGAACAGAUGAAGAUACAGCCCGUAAAAAUACUUAUUCUUGGUGAGUGCCAUGUAGCGACGGAUCAAACGGACACUCAUGUCAAGCUUGAUGAGGACACAGUCAAAGCUUUAAAAGACCUUGUGAUUAAGUCUUCAGUGUCUGAAUGGCAAGAAGAAGUGACCCUCCACUAAAACGUGACAUUUAAACUGCUCUGUGUUUUAGUUCGCCAAUUUGUAGGUUUAUCUCGAGUUAUGCUGCGUUCCAGGCAGGUUUUUAAACCCGUGAGUUACGACUUCAAAACCACGACUCACGACCCUAUGCGUUCCAGGCAGCCUGUAACUCGUGUUUUUACAACCUUCUACCGGUGAAAGUGCACUGGAACGGCAGUCAAACCCGUGACUUCCCACCUGUGAACUCGUACUAGAUCGAUGUACUCCCAGUUCAGAGUCGUGAGUUACGGGUUACAGGUUGCCUGGAACGCAGCAUUAGUUCAAAUGCACUUCUGCAUUUGUCCAGUAACUUUUUGU